CUCCGCGUCCGCCAUUACACUACUGCCAAACAACCGGUAACAUAUAUAUAAGGUGGCAGGGGAUAUAUCAGUGGAAGGGGGGUCCAUACAUAUCUUUAGGACUGUGGUACUGUUUGAUGUGGUCGCAGUUUAAUAGGGAGAACGAGUGGACCCCGAGAACGAUUACACGCAUUCAAGACAUCGUUAGCCACAGAAUCACCCAAUCGCACGACACUUUCCAGUUGUAGAAAGAAUGUCUCAAAAUUUUGGAAAAAAACAUUACAACUAGCCACAGCUCCCUAGCAAGGAAAUUUUGAAUCUUCAAAAAGGAGGUUUUCACUUUUGUCGGAAGUCAAUAUUUCACGCUGCAGAAACAGAACAAAAUUUUGAAGGUAAAUUGUGAAAAAUCUAAACGUAUGGGAGACACUUUCCUAGGCAAAUAAACAAAGCACAGGGAUGAAAUUAGUGAGUAAUGUAGCCAAAACUAGGAUUGCAUUCUGUUUGAAUGUUCUGUGCAUGCCAUGAAAUGGGUCAAAUUUCUCAAUUUUUCAUUAAAAAUGAGGUGGUCGGGGGGAAAGAUCAAGGGCCAUAGUUUCACAAGUGAAGAAGCCAGCCUUGUCUUUGGUUGUAUUUUCAAUGUAUAUUGCCUAUGCUAUGACACUGACACAAAAAGGCUUUCUUGUGUCACUUUCUGUUUUGAUGCAAUGGAUUUGACUGUUUGCGGCCUUUCGGAACUCGAAAUUUGGUCAAAAAUAUAUCCCCUGCCCCCUUAAUAGCAAAACGCAAAAUUUCAAAAUUGUGUAUAUCAUACGAAAAUUGAUACAUGUAUUCCACAAAUGUGUUGCGGUAACAAAUCGAACAUAAUUUUGCAUAUAUCUUUUAACCGCUAUGGUUGAGAUUAUGGAAAACAAAGGGAGGUAAUAAUGUUAAAACCAUUGCUAAUUUUAGGAAAAUUUCACGUGUGCUGGUUUCGCACUGGAAAACAAUGUUUAAACUCAUAU